rnacentral:rRNA from 1 species
GACGAACGCUGGCGGCGUGCUUAACACAUGCAAGUCGAACGGUGAAGCUCCAUCGUGCUGUAGUGACUCAGUGGCGAACGUGUGAAUAACAUGUGAGAAACCUCCCCCUGACUCUGGAAUAAGGGCUGGAAACGUGAUCUAAUACUGGAUAGGAGUAGGGUUCGCUGGGUCAAUUUCUGAAAAGUUUGUCGGUUGGGGAUGGGCUCGCGGUCUAUCUGCUUGUUGGGGAGGUAAUGGCUCACCAAGGCGAUGGCGAGUAGCCGGCCCGGGAGGGCCAGCGGCCCAACUGGGGAUGAGGCAACGCCCCGCACUCUAAGGGGGGCAGGCGUGGGGAAUAUUGCAACAUGGGCGACAGCCUGGUGCCGGGACGCCGGGUGGGGGAUGGAGGCCUUCGGGUUGUAAAACUCUUUCCGCAGGGAAGAAGCGAAAGUGCCGGUCCCGGCAGAAGAAGCACCGGCUAACUCCGG